rnacentral:tRNA from 1 species
GGUAAAAUGGCUGAGCUAGGGCAUUGAACUGUAAAUUCAAAGACAGAGAAUAACAUUUCUCUUUUUACCA